GAAAUUAAUGUUGACACGAGUUAAAAACCAGUUCAAGAACUGCUUUCGUAGUUCACUCGGGCAAAAGGUAAGACAGUUAUGAUCAGGGCCUAGCGCCCGGUAGAUAGUUUCGUUUUAGUAUCGUUUUGAAUCCCGUGGUCCACCCCAUCUGGCAUAACAUUGAUACUUCCAUAAAUCACGUGGAUUUCCGAGAAAUGAUACACACUCAGCGUAUUCUCUCAUAUUCCUCGCAAAUCGGGCUGUUUUCCUCUCGCUUCAAACUUGAUGUUGACAUGAGUUAAAGAACCAGUUCAAGAACCGCUUCCCAAGUUCAUUCCAGCGAAAGCCUGGAGCAAAGCAAAAUGUCUGAUGAUAUGCCGCAAGGGGAUGAAUCUGGAUCAGAUGGCAGAGCAAACCCUGCUUUUGAACACUCUAAGGAAGCCUCAACUACGCAUGGCGAAAUGAGCGAUGAUUUGCGGCAGAGUGGGGAUCCCAAUGGAUCAGGUGAUGUGACGAGUCCUGACUCAGUGGAUCUAUUAGGCGCAGAUGCAGAUGCGACUCCCAGCAAUGCUAGAGAGUGGAAGAUAAAGGUAGACAAAGUUUAUGAAGAAUAUCUGUCAAGCUGCCCUGGAUACCCUGGUAGCACUUCGACAAGCUCGGAAAAAUCUGAUCACAGAGAUGUUGAGGAUCCUGUUUCAAGUGACACAGAUGAUGUAUGUUCAAAACCUCUGGAACCCUCUGAAAAUAAAGAACAGUUUCUCAGGAAUACCUUCCAUCUCUUUGUGGCGGGUGAAAAUGUGUCCUCGGUAAAGAUUGUUACAGAGAGACCAAUGCUCAAUGGGACUAGCACAUUGUCCCUUGAACGCUGCUUAGACGACGCAAGGCACUGGGUGUCCCUCCCGCUGUACGUUGACCCUCACAAUCAAGAAACGUUUUCUUAUCGUUAUGUCGUGAAAUUUAAGGAGGGCAUAGUGAGGGCUGUUGCUGCAUAUCUUUUCAAUACCCUUACAGGAAGAAAAGAUGAGAAAACUGUAGAGGAGAAAGUAGGGCGAAAGCUGUUUAAAGGAACGCACCAAUAUGACAUUUUUCGAAACCCAACCGAAAGUUAUUUUAGCAGAAGUAUUUUUCAAGGGCAGAUGUUCUUUGUUCAGAUGUUAUAUCAUCAGCUUACCGAACAUAAUUUGAAAGAUUUACUGAUUGAAUGCGAACAUGUUGGUUUUGGUCGUCCGAGCUAUUUAUAUGAAGAUGUCAAAUGUUGUCAAAAAUGGAUCCAGGAUGCAGUGAGAAAUAGUAUCACUCCUGCACAGGGUUUGUACAUUUGCUGUGUCCUAGGUCAGUUGGUGGAUCGUGGGAAAUUGUUGUCCCCUGGAAAUGCGAGUUACUUACUUGAACGCCUUGGAUGUAAGAAUGUUGACCUUAUUCUUUCAUCCUUUGAAAGUCUUCGCAAUAUUUCUCUGCCCAAAACAAGCACAAGGUACAUCGCAAACGUAGCAGAAGAUCUUUUCAAGGCUUCAUCCUGGACAGGACCCUUGCUAUUUAUCAAGUACUUCUGUAAUGUACUUGAUACCCAGUCCAUUAUGCUGCCAGUGAACAAGCUUUCAUUACACCAUUAUACUGAAGAGAAAUUCAACAAAGAUGUUUGUGUUCUACUUGAUGCCCUCAAACAUUGUGACAAACCCAUGAAGUGUGAAAAAUACCUAUGGCAUGUGAUCCAAACUUGUCCCAGUGUCCAGUGUCUCUGGAACGUACAUUCCGCCAUGUCCCUCAGUUUUUCUUUUGUCAACCAGUUCAGUGAUGAAUUUUUAAGCAAGUAUUGUACGUUUAUUUCAAUCAGUCGCACGAAAAGACUAGACCUACUUCAACCGUGGUUUUGGUCUACAGUACCAGAUAUGCUAAAAGAGAAAAUAGCUUCUCCAUUAUGUAAAGGACUGGCUCAACAGUUUGCUUCAGAAACAAAGUGGUCAAAAGAGAAAAUUGCCAGUUUGAAGACUGUUGUUAUCGAUACUACUUUCCAGUCAUCCGACACCUAUUGUCAGUUCCUUUCAAGUGUUUUGUUAAGCAAACAGAAAGAAAUGGAGUUCUUUCUUCCAAAUCUCCUGACAUCGAAGACCUUUCUCCCAUACUGGUUUGACCAUGUUUCUGAAGAUGACAAAACCAAAUUUUGUGAAAACUGCUUGUCCACCAGUUUUCAGAAUAGUGGAACGACAAGUAAAGACCAGGUACUAAGUGUUGUGGCAACGUGGAAGAUGCUUUGUGAAACGGAUGCUCUGAAAGCUAACAAAGUACUUUCUGAAGCUGUUGAGAAAAAGGUUGAGCGUUUGGUUAUCAAGAUAAAGCCGAAAACUAUCAUGGAGGCUUGUAAAGAUUCUCAGAAUGAUGCAAUUAAAGACCGCCUUGUUAUGCUCCUCAGAAGUAAAUUAAAACAGCCCAGUGGCACAGGAAACUCUCGUUCAAAAUACAAGCAGAUGAUUCACCUGCUUGGUUUUGACUUAUCAAAGGAAAAGGAGGGAAAGGACUUGAG